rnacentral:tmRNA from 1 species
GGGGCUGAUUCUGGAUUCGACGGGAUUUGCGAAACCCAAGGUGCAUGCCGAGGGGCGGUUGGCCUCGUAAAAAGCCGCAAAAAAAUAGUCGCAAACGACGAAACCUACGCUUUAGCAGCUUAAUAACCUGCUUAGAGCCCUCUCUCCCUAGCCUCCGCUCUUAGGACGGGGAUCAAGAGAGGUCAAACCCAAAAGAGAUCGCGCGGAUGCCCUGCCUGGGGUUGAAGCGUUAAAACGAAUCAGGCUAGUCUGGUAGUGGCGUGUCCGUCCGCAGGUGCCAGGCGAAUGUAAAGACUGACUAAGCAUGUAGUACCGAGGAUGUAGGAAUUUCGGACGCGGGUUCAACUC